UCCGGCUGGCUCACGAGUUUGAGCAUUUGGUGCUCCAGGAUCCCCGCUUUGAAAUCUGUGCAGAAGUCACUCUGGGGCUGGUCUGUUUUCGGCUAAAGGGUUCCAACAAGCUGAACGAAGAUCUUCUGGAAAGAAUCAACAGUGCCAAGAAAAUCCACCUGGUCCCCUGUCACCUCCGAGACAAGUUCGUGCUGCGAUUGGCCAUCUGCGCCCGCACCGUGGAGUCUGCCCAUGUGCAGCGGUCCUGGGAACACAUCCGACAGCUGGCCACCGAUGUGCUGAGAGCCGAGAAGGACUAGGAGGCCCAGCCGCAGGGAAGCUGCUGCAGAGAUCAAAAGUUGAAAAGGAGUACAUCUGAGAGCUGUGGAACGAGAAGACAAUAAACAUUAUUCUGGUCCCGAGGACCCAAGCCUGCAUGAGGCCUCACGCUUCUUUCUGUGAAGUUCUCCAGAAGCUUAGUGAUUAUGUCUGCUCACUCUCUUACCAAUGAAGAAACUACUUACUGCAAUCCUGGUGCAUGUAGCUUUUACUCAUUAUUCAACUGUGACUUUUGUUGAUUAAGAAAUCAUAGGUUGUCAUGCUCUUGAAGUCAUCAGUGGUGGGAGAGGCUUACUGAAAUAUUUUCCAGGAUAUUCUAGGAUCGAGGGACUUGAGAUUAUACCCGUGGUCUUUAAAUUGUUCUGUCAUGUGGCUCAAUGCUUAAUAAACAAUGUGAAGUGCA